UUGUAAAGUACUUUCAGCGGGGAGGAAGGUGUUGUGGUUAAUAACCACUUCUAUUGACCUUACCCGCAGAAGAACCAGCGGCUUACUCCGGGCCAUCCCCCGCGGAAAUACGGAAGGUGCAAUCGUUAUUCGCAAUUACUGGGCGUAAAGCGCACGCAGGCGGUCUGUCAUUACCGAUGGGAAAUCCCCGGGCUCAACCUGGGAACUGCAUUCGAAACUGGGUGCUUCUUCCUUGUAUAGGGGGGUAGAAUUCCGUGUGUAGCGGUGAAAUGCUC
rnacentral:rRNA from 1 species